CCCUCGGUGGCUGAGUGGCUAGAGCAUCUGACUACCAAUCCAAAGGUGUGAGUUCGAAUCCCACCUGAUUGA
rfam:Culex pipiens quinquefasciatus supercont3.530 genomic scaffold, whole genome shotgun sequence.